AGCUCAAAUUUUGAAUCUGGCGUCUUUGGCGUCCGAGUUGUAAUUUAGAGAAGCGUCUUCCGCGCUGGACCGUGCACAAGUCUCCUGGAAUGGAGCGUCAUAGAGGGUGAGAAUCCCGUCUUUGGCACGGACUCCCGGUGCUUUGCGAUGCGCUCUCGA
rnacentral:rRNA from 1 species